rnacentral:rRNA from 1 species
UACGUAGGGUGCGAGCGUUGUCCGGAAUUACUGGGCGUAAAGGGCUCGUAGGCGGCCAACUAAGUCAGACGUGAAAUCCCCAGGCUCAACCUGGGAACUGCGUCUGAUACUGGAUGGCUUGAAUUCGGGAGAGGGAUGCAGAAUUCCAGGUGUAGCGGUGAAAUGCGUAGAUAUCUGGAGGAAUACCGGUGGCGAAGGCGGCAUCCUGGACCGACAUUGACGCUGAGGAGCGAAAGCUAGGGGAGCAAACGGG